CAAAAAGAAAAUUAAUUUAAUUAUAUUGUAUUUAGAACAGGGGUUGGCAAACUAUAGCCCAUAAGCCAAAUCCAGCUUGCAGCCAUUUUUAUAAAUAAAGUUGCAUGGGAAUAUACCUAUGCCCACUUAUUUACAUAUUGUGUAUGGCUGCUUUUGCACUUUAAUAACGGAGUUAACUAAUUGCAAGAGAGAACUUAAAGCCCACGAAAUCUAAAAUAUUUAUUAUCUGGCCCUUUACAGAAAAUGUUUGCUAGCCUAUUUUAGAAGGUGU
rnacentral:lncRNA from 1 species